GUUACUCUAAACUUUGUCACUCUAAUCUCUGUCACUAUAGUGUCUACACUCAGCCAUGAUGUCUCCACCUCACCUCCACAUUUUCCUCAGGCCAACUGCCGCUCACAAACUGCUGCUCCUCUUGCACCAACUGUCCCCUGGCUUCCAGGUGAGCCAUCACAGGGCCCCUCUUUGCUUGUGCAUGCGCAGAAUGGAACAAUGCUGUGCGGCAGCCAUAAUACCUCAACAAUUGUGUGUAUACAGUCUGAACUACUUCACACAUCUAACCAACUUUUUCAUCAGAGCAGCCAAUGUCUCUCCAGCUGAAUGAUUCAGACGUCACAGCAGUGAUGUGUGGUGGGGUGAGGGAGAGCCUUCCCUGUCAUACUAAAGUACAGUAUAAGCCGGAGUUUUUACUUUAUAAAUGCUACCAUCAUUGCUGGUAUAACACUACAGCUGGAUGUUGUAUCACCAGACUAAUCUGUACCAGCCACAAUACAGACCAGAAAGACACUUACCUGGCCACAGGACCUUCAGCAAGUUAGAUAAAGUACCCACUAUCCAGGCUGGAAUCUCCAGAGUGCCAUCAAGGGAGUGUCAAACUACCAAGCUUGCCAAAAUGCAAGGAAGUACACCGGGGAAGGACAUUUGCAUAAAGUCGUAGAAGUGCGACCGGCAAAAGAUGCAGGAAAGGACAAGCACUCCAUCAUCGUCUGGGACCGAUCAGCAACUGACUCCUGUGUGAUCAGCAAUGUGUUAUCUAGUUUUUGGGGGAGGAGAUUCUCUCAUUCAUGAUGGGUCACUAGUCUAUUCGUGUGCUGAACAGGUUCAGCCUUGGGGACGUCCAAAGGGGCUGGCGCACUCCAUCAUCGUCUGGGACCGAUCAGCAAUUGACUCCUGUGUGAUCAGCAAUGUGUUAUCUAGUUUUUGGGGGAGGGGACUACAGGUUCAGCCUUGGGGACGUCCAAAGGGGCUGGCCUGAGUUUCCUGUCCAUUGUCCUAAUAAGAGUGAUUUUUAGCUUUCAUACAUUUAAUCAUAACUAUUUGUUGCAAUGUCCUACAACUUAAUAACAAGUAUCAAAUGAAUCUACACAUUAAUCUGCUUGCUUUAAUACCAAAUAUGACAGGUGUAUCUGGUUUCGUUCAAAUAAUGCACA